UACGUAGGGCGCAAGCGUUAUCCGGAAUUAUUGGGCGUAAAGAGCUCGUAGGCGGUUUGUCGCGUCUGCCGUGAAAGUCCGGGGCUCAACUCCGGAUCUGCGGUGGGUACGGGGCAGACUAGAGUGAUGUAGGGGGAGACUGGAAUUCCUGGUGUAGCGGUGAAAUGCGCAGAUAUCAGGAGGAACACCGAUGGCGAAGGCAGGUCUCUGGGCAUUAACUGACGCUGAGGAGCGAAAGCAUGGGGAGCGAACAGG
rnacentral:rRNA from 1 species